rnacentral:rRNA from 1 species
AGCAGCCGCGGUAAUACGUAGGGGGCUAGCGUUAUCCGGAUUUACUGGGCGUAAAGGGUGCGUAGGCGGUCUUUCAAGUCAGGAGUGAAAGGCUACGGCUCAACCGUAGUAAGCUCUUGAAACUGGGAGACUUGAGUGCAGGAGAGGAGAGUGGAAUUCCUAGUGUAGCGGUGAAAUGCGUAGAUAUUAGGAGGAACACCAGUUGCGAAGGCGGCUCUCUGGACUGUAACUGACGCUGAGGCACGAAAGCGUGGGGAGCAAACAGGAUUAGAUACCCUGGUAGUCCACGCUGUAAACGAUGAGUACUAGGUGUCGGGGGUUACCCCC